rnacentral:lncRNA from 1 species
UUAUAAAAAAUUUAUUGAGAUGAUGUAAUUAUAGGUUUCUUCUUUAAAAAUUAUUUGCAACUCACUGGCCCUGAGAAAAGGCAUUUUUUUUGUUGGUUUUUUUUCUUUUUUGUUACAUUCAUUUGAUUCAGUCCCUUAUAAACCCCACACCUCAUAAACAAGAGAUUAGAAACUAAACAACAACAACAAAAAUUCAUUCUAGAUUCAUCUGGCUUGCAGGUGGCUGCAGUCACAAAGAGGAGCCUUCAGAAGAGUGCUCACCUGCGAGGGUGAGAGUCAGGGGGUUUGAAGUUGUUUAGUGUUGACGUGGAUGGGGCCGAAAGAAUACCGGGUUAGUCCUGUGUGCCUUGUUGAUAGGCAGGGUUCCGGGGUGUCCCUCUGUGUCCCUGCCCCACUGGAUUUCUUAUGCCAUCCAAUUUAGGUUCCUGUUCAGAAGAGGAGCAGGCUGAGCGCACAGCAGCUCUAACUAGCACCAAGUGACUGGGCAGGCAGUGAGAACCACCCUUGGCAUCUUUAGUUUCUUUGCUGGGGAUGGAUAGAACGGGGAUUUAAACCAGGAUAAUUUCUAGCUGCAUUCUGAACACUUAUCCUGCCUGCGAGGCUGGAUCCUGAUCCUGUGUGUCUUGCUCUCUGCUCCCUGGGAAAGUGUCACGACCUCUCUCGGGUUGUCUUCUGCCAAUAACAGUGAAUGUGCCAAGCUGUGUUUAUGGAUGGAUCCCGAACGGUGUGAAAAGAUGGAGUGGCUACUCAGUCAUUCGGGGGACUCCUCACAGCCAUCUAGAAGUCAGCUUGAGUGACAUUCUUAUCUGGACAAGGUACUAGUGUAAAAAGAUGCUGCUCAGAGGGCCCUGAAUGUACUGGGCAAGAAGCCUGCUUUGUUCUUUUCCAAAAAAAGAGAUAAGGGGCAUCAGCGACCCUGACUUCGAGUGGAUCAAAGUGACCAGAGAGAAGCUGCUGGGGACAUGUAAGCAGUGCCACUGUUUUCUGCUGAAGGAGACCUGAAGACAGUCCAGUCAAGGACUCAGUACAGAGGACUCCAGGACCUAGGUACUAAUGCCCAUCCUCCGCACGGCAACGCUUCCCUGCAAAUUCCUUUCCUGACCUAACCCACGGGCUGCAGAAAACGGCCACCAAAGGAGCUUUCAGAUUCCGUCCCUCGUCUCCUCUCUAACUCAAUGUUGAACUGGAAGAUCACAGUGGAUGAAAAAAAGCAAAACCAACAAAACCCAAAAAAACCCACCAGAACUCUCCUAGUGGUAUUCCCUCCAAGAUCUGCUCGGCUAAAUCUGAACCCUUUUGAGUUUGCAGCCUGAGAGCAUUGCACUCCGGUGAUAGUGCCGGUCAUAUUUCCCCUCUUAAAAAAAACAACAACAAAAAACAAGAACUUCUGCAGUUAGGAGAACCAAAGGUAUCAUUACCGGUAACACGGGGUGCGAAAUAAAGAUUGCCACGAGCGAGCCUUUCUAACGUAAGUGGCUGAAGCUGCCAUCCAAGACUCCUUAGGGAACAGAGGCAUUUCCUUCCGAGGUUCAUCUGGAAGAUCCUCUGGGCAGUUAAAAGAGACUGAGUUCUACACAUGGGCAAAGUGGCCGGAGUGACGUGUUCUAGCUUCUCAUUUCAUAGUCACACAAAGGACAAAAACGAAAAAGCCCACCCUUUCUCUCUUGCUCUUCAACCCAGUGGCUCAUACAACACAAGUAUUUGGCUUAAUCUCCCCAGUUGACAUAAGGUACCGGUCAUUUUAGAAGCCAAAAAA